UACGUAGGACCCAAGCGUUAUCCGGAAUUACUGGGCGUAAAGAGUUGCGUAGGUGGCAGAGUAAGUAAGGUGUGAAAGCGUGCGGCUCAACCGCAUAGACAUACUUUAAACUGCUCAGCUUGAGGACGAGAGAGGUACCUGGAAUUCCUAGUGUAGGAGUGAAAUCCGUAGAUAUUAGGAGGAACACCGAUGGCGUAGGCAGGGUACUGGCUUGUUCCUGACACUAAGGCACGAAAGCGUGGGGAGCGAACGGG
rnacentral:rRNA from 1 species